rnacentral:ribozyme from 1 species
UUUUCUUUUUUUUUUUCCCUCUUCUUUUUUGCGGGAUGACUAGGGACAGAAGGUUGGUGGUUAUUACGGUAGGAGCACAAUAUAGGAAAUUAUUUUGAUCCCUAUGUUCUUUCACUUUCACUUCAUAUCACUUCAAAUAAAAAAAAACUGUUGUUUUUUCCUCUCCUCGUGGACACAUGUCCACGUCCUCUUUAAA